AUUGAACGCUGGCGGCAGGCCUAACACAUGCAAGUCGAGCGGCAGCGGGAAAGUAGCUUGCUACUUUUGCCGGCGAGCGGCGGACGGGUGAGUAAUGCCUGGGGAUCUGCCCAGUCGAGGGGGAUAACUACUGGAAACGGUAGCUAAUACCGCAUACGCCCUACGGGGGAAAGCAGGGGACCUUCGGGCCUUGCGCGGUUGGAUGAACCCAGGUGGGAUUAGCUAGUUGGUGAGGUAAUGGCUCACCAAGGCGACGAUCCCUAGCUGGUCUGAGAGGAUGAUCAGCCACACUGGAACUGAGACACGGUCCAGACUCCUACGGGAGGCAGCAGUGGGGAAUAUUGCACAAUGGGGGAAACCCUGAUGCAGCCAUGCCGCGUGUGUGAAGAAGGCCUUCGGGUUGUAAAGCACUUUCAGCGAGGAGGAAAGGUUGGUAGCUAAUAACUGCCAGCUGUGACGUUACUCGCAGAAGAAGCACCGGCUAACUCCGUGCCAGCCGCCGCCGUAAUAC
rnacentral:rRNA from 1 species